UCGUGGUGACGCGGUCUCCAAUCUCCGAUGUAUAUCCACGGUACCCGAGUAGGCACAAUUUCCGCACCAACGUGAUGCGAAGUCACUCCUAUGUGUUCUAAAUCAUGACCGGGCUUGCGAUAAAACUCCACCUAUGAAACGAAACACAAAACAUAUAAUUUCGGAACAUCAAACCCUUCGGUGGCUUCUACGCUAUCGAGCAAACUAAUGUUACAAUCUGCAGAAAAAACUGAAACCGAAAGGCCUGACCAUUGAGACUCCGAGAGAAGAUGAUGGGAACUGGGGAAGAGCGGAAGUUAUGGAGACAUGAAAUGAAAAACAAUGGCUUUGGUGGGCGCUUAAUAUCUAUCAAUGGAGAUCAAUGACAGACCGGG
rnacentral:lncRNA from 1 species